CUGCUGGAGGGAGGCGGCGGAGAAGCAGCAGAGAAAAUGGCGGCUAUGGCUGCGGAGGCGGCGGCGACUGCAGCGGUGCCGGGCGAUGGGGGGGCGGGCGAAGCCGAGCCCGAGAUGGAGCCCAUCCCGGGCAGCGAGGCCGGCGCGGACCCUCCUCCCGCCGUCACCGAGGCCGUGGAGUCGGCGGUGCCCGACGGGGAGGAGGCCGACGGGGGAAAGGGUGCUCCCGGCGAGGCCGAGGAGCCGCCGCCCGUGCAGCUCGCCCGGAGCCCGGCCGGGACGCGGGAGCCGGAAGCCGAAAGGACGGAGACGCCGCCGCCCUCCAGCCCGGAGGUGGGUUCGCCGCAGGCCGAGCUCCGGGGAGCGGUCAGCCCGGAGCCCGAGGAGCGGCCGCAGCCCUGCCCGCCGCCCGCCGCGCAUCCCCAACUUCUCGAGGAGCGGCCGCAGCCCUGCCCUACGGCUGCCGGGGGCUCCGUGAAGCGGGAGCCCGGGGAGGAGCCGUCCCGGCCGGAGGAGGAGGAGCCGGAUGCUGCCGCCGCUGCGGAGCCCGAGCGCCCGCUGCCCGCGGCCCCGACCGGGGGGGAGGCGGAGGCGCCGCUGCUGCCCGGCUCCGAGGUGCGGGUCACCCUGGAUCACAUCAUCGAGGACGCCCUGGUGGUCUCGUUCCGGCUGGGAGAGAAGCUGUUCUCCGGGGUCCUCAUGGACCUCUCGAAAAGGUUUGAUAUAAAAAGUAGCUUCUGCCUCAUCCCAGAAGAUGCUAUGGCUUCCCACUCAUUACCUUCCAGUUGGUUUGGACCUCACGGAAUCCCUGUGACCAUAUUUCCUAAAAGGGAAUACAAGGAUAAACCCGAAGCCAUGCAGCUCCAAAGUAAACCAUUCCAAGAUGAGGCACAGGUGAAGUGUGAAUCUAAUGCUGCAGUCCCAGAUGACUCUUCUCUCACGCAGCCAUCAGAACCAAGCUUAGCUAAAAGCCUAUGGACUUCUAAACCACCUCCUCUCUUCCAUGAGGGAGCGCCAUAUCCUCCUCCUUUGUUUAUCAGGGACACGUAUAACCAGUCAAUACCUCAGCCUCCGCCCCGGAAAAUUAAGCGGCCCAAGCGUAAAAUGUACAGGGAGGAACCCACUUCUAUUAUGAAUGCUAUCAAACUACGACCCCGACAGGUCUUAUGUGACAAGUGCAAAAACAGUGUUGUUGCGGAAAAAAAGGAAAUAAAAAAAGGUGGCAAUGCAAGUGACUCUUCAAAAUACGAGGAUAAUAAAAAACGAAGAAACGAGAGCGUGACUACUGUGAAUAAAAAACUUAAGACUGACCACAAGGUGGAUGGAAAAAGCCAAAAUGAAAGCCAGAAAAGGAAUGCUGUGGUCAAGGUUUCAAAUAUUGCCCACAGCAGAAGCAGAGUAGUUAAAGUUACUGCACAAGCAAAUACUUCAAAAGCGCAGUUAAAUACAAAAAAAGUUCUCCAGAGCAAAAACAUGGAUCAUGCAAAAGCUCGGGAAGUCUUGAAAAUGGCCAAAGAAAAGGCACAAAAGAAGCAGAGUGCAACCUCCUCUUCCAAAAAUGCACAUUCAAAGGUCCACUUCACACGGCGUCUUCAGAACACCAGCUCAGGUUCCCUCCCGCCCCGAUUGCGUUUAAAGCCACAAAGAUAUCGGAAUGAAGAAAAUGACUCUUCUCUCAAGACAGGACUUGAGAAAAUACGGAGUGGCAAGAUGGCAACUAAGCCGCAGUCUCGCUGCUCCUCCACCCGCUCAGCAGGUCUGAUGCGGAAGCUGGAGCCAGCCUGAGUGCUGGCAGAGGAACAGAGGAAGUCAGCUCUCCUGGGUAUUCCGCUCCCAUCCCAACGUGAAGAGGGAAAGAGAAGUAAGAUGAAACAAGGGCUGGGAACUGAGGACAGACAACACCAAGUGGAAAAGAGGCACGUAUGCUAAAAACACAAGGGUGAGUAACUACUGGAACAAAUCAGUAAGAGAUGUUGUUGGUUUAGAGCAUUUAUGUUUAAAAGAUUGCUGCAUAAAGCAUUUUUUCCUAUUAGAGGUUGUAAACCCAAUGCAUGUGACUCAAAACCCUGGCAAUGCAGUGGAUUUGUGGCCAUUUACAACAGGAGGAAGUACCAAUUACCUUUCUCUUGGCAGCUGUGAUGACUAGUUUAGACAUUAAAAAAAAAUCCCUUUAAAAAUAAAAACCAAACCAAAACAAAAAAGGCAGCUGGUUCAGGAUGCGGACAAUACAAAAGAGCUUCCAUCAGUAAAUUAAUUGGUGUUUUACCUGGUAGAAAACUUGUGGUAAUGUUAAAUAACACAGUCCAGAGAUUUCUGUUCUAGCCAGAGAGUGGCACUUCGAGUAGGAAUGACCUACAGAUCAGUCCUCUCUAAUGGUGUGCACAGCUUCCAGUGACAUUAAGCUGUCUCUUUCACACAAUGCAAUUAAAUUACAAACAAGUAUGAAAAGCAAAUCAGCUGCAAUUCUUCAGCUCCACGUUUUCUACCCUUCGUUUUAAAACUAUAGGUACACAGCAGGCAUCCAGCAGGGAAGUUGCACAGCAGGUAGAAAUAUCAAAAGUUUUGUUGUGCUUUUAUUUUCCUGAAUAAGCUACCCAGCCUCUGCCCAAGAAGGCCUUUAGAGAUAAGAAGCAGGAGCAGAAUGGCAGGAAGAGCAUAAGUCACCAAACUCAUUUGUAAGACAAAGCAGCAGACUGCUAAAUCACUGCCUGUAACUUUGCACAACAGCCAUACACUGGUAAAUAAACACAGAAGGCUGAGUAAAGAUAACAAUUAAUUGGUAAUCAAGAUACAAAGAAAAUUUUAAGUGUCCACAGUAGCUUCAAAGUGGUUCGAUUUAUGCAUGGUCUAGGGGUAUGUGCUGCAGUUGAGUGAAGGCUGGGGUUCAGAUCUAAGCUGCCUCGCAUUCAGUGAUAGAGGACUGUUGCUAAACACGACAAAACCCUGGAUGCACUCCUUUCCCCAGGCCAGGAGUCAGCUGGUGAAAUUCAAGUCAGUGGACUGCCUUGCUCCAGAUGCAGCCACACUGCUCUGCUUCCAGGGCCAGACACUUCUACAGUGUCAGGCGGUGCGGAGUCGGCAACAGCACCAAUGGACAUCUCUACCUGUCAUGUGCUGAACUAGAAGCUUUGGCAAGGUGUGAUUCAGACAUUCCUGAGUGACUUCUCAGUUUGGGCUCAAACCAAGCUUAUGAGCUCCAGCUCAACACCGCCUCUGCCCAGGGUUCCUUUGGAGCCUCUGCUCCCUAGUACUCCAGGUCUCGGGGAAAAUUAGUGAGAUUUAUACCAGUCUCAAUACUCUGCUCCAGCUAAUAAGCCUUCCAUGGGUCUAAAGAGCUCAGUACUGAAAGCAGUGUUACAUUUCUGAAGGCAGAGCUGCCAGCUCUGAGCCAGUUAAUUAGCUUAUCCGGACCUGCAGAGCCUCUCGGGUGUGAGCACACUUCUCUCCCAGUACAUUCCCUCGUACCCUCACUGCACUGCCCAGAUAAGCUCAGCCCUCUACCACUGGGAGUGGAGGGGGUGAGCAAAUGACUGCAUGGUGCUGAGCUACCACUCGGGUUAACCCAUAGCACCGGGAGCAGCAUCUUUCUUUAAAACCUCCCAUCUCUACACCUACCAGACUGCCCAAUUUUAGUAAAGGAAAUCAAACCUUGCAUUGUAGGAACUGUACUCCAGUAAAACAUGACAUAGUUAUUGUUUCUUAGCACAUGGAAAUCCUAGAGGCUGUAUGCUUUUGUUUAGUUAAGUGACAUUUUAAUAACGCAGAAGAUGUUAAAGGCAGCACAGUCCUUAUUGUGAAUUUGGGUUUCUCUCUUGGCAAUGACACUUGAAUUCCCACAGAUGUAACACCAUCUCACUGCAGACAUGACAUAGUUGAUAAAUAGUUAACCACAAAGUCAGAACUAAAAAUGCACCAGGACAGAGUUAAACAACAAUCAAAAACAAACAACAAACCCCACAUCUCUAAGUCUGCACUGUCAAAAUGGAAGAAAAAAAAAAAGCACCAGAAAGCUUAGCUUGAGAGUAUUCCCUUCAGGCAUAUCACUGUAAAGACUGGAGCUCAAAACAUGCAACUAGUGCAAUUUCAGUCUUUAAGUACACACAAGAAGAUUUCUUGAAAUAAAUUUAAGAUGACAACUAAUAGCCAAUGGAGAGCUACCAGUAAUUAUUUAAUUAAAUUGUGUUUUGAAAUCUGCCUCCCAUGUAAACAUUUCAACACUGAUAUAGAAAAAACCAGUAUGCAGUAAUUACAAAAGACACCCAUUCUCCAAAAUCUGAGUGAAGUACUUGAAAAACACUUUUGUUUUUUUUAUAGCUCUCUAUAAAUCAAUGCUUCAGCAUUCUCAAAGCCUAUUACAUCACAAGGAACUUUUGCAAUCAAUUUUAAUGUCAAUUGUUGGCCAUUAUGGGGAUCUGUAACAUGAAUAAAUCUCAGGGAAGCAGAUCUCCCUGACUUUAUAGGACCUUUACAAGGUGUAUACA